GACGUAGGGGGCGAGUGUUGUCCGGAAUUACUGGGCUUAAAGGGUGCGUAGGCGGCCAUUCAAGUCGGGUGUGAAAGCCCUCAGCUCAACUGAGGAACUGCGCCCGAUACUGUUUGGCUUGAGGAAGGCAGAGGUGAGCGGAACUUGCGGUGGAGCGGUGAAAUGCGUUGAUAUCGCAAGGAACACCAGUAGCGAAGGCGGCUCACUGGGCCUUUUCUGACGCUGAGGCACGAAAGCUAGGGUAGCGAAGAGGAUUAGAUACCCCU
rnacentral:rRNA from 1 species